rnacentral:lncRNA from 1 species
AAAAGCAAAGGGAGAGAGGAGAGUCACUUUAGACCUUUUAGAAAACAUGGAGUUGUUCCUUUGGCUACGUAUAUGCGAAUCUAUAAGAGAGGUGACAUUGUAGACAUCAAGGGAAUGGGAACUGUUCAAAAAGGAAGCCCAACAAGUGUUACCAUGGCAAAGCUGGAAGAGUCUACAGUGUUCCCCAGCAUGCCGUUGGCUUUGUUGUAAACCAACAAGUUAAGGGCAAGAUUCCUGCCAAGAGAACUGAUAUGUGUAUUGAGCACAUGAAGCACUCUAAGAGCCAAGAGAGCUUCCUGACACGCGUGAAGGACAAUGAUCAGAAAAAGAAACAAGCCAAAGAGAAAGGUACCUGGGUGCAACUGAAGUGCCAGCCUGCUCCACCCAGAGAAGCACACUUUGUGAGAACCAGUGGGAAGGGCCAGUGCUUCUGGGACCUUUUCCCUGUGAAUUCAUGGCA